rnacentral:rRNA from 1 species
GGCAGCCGCGGUAAUUCCAGCUCCAAUAGCGUAUAUUAAAGUUGUUGCAGUUAAAAAGCUCGUAGUUGAAUUUCGGGAUCAAGGAAUCGGUCAUGCCUCGGUAUGUACUGGUUUUAUUGGUUCUCACCUUCUAAAGAACCAUAAUGUCAUUCAUUUGAUGUUAUGGGGAAUUAGGACUGUUACCUUGAAAAAAUUAGAGUGUUUAAAGCAGGCUUACGCUUGAAUACAUUAGCAUGGAAUAAUGAAAUAGGACGUUUGAUUCUAUUUUGUUGGUUUCUAGGAUCGACGUAAUGAUUAAUAGGGAUAGUUGGGGGCAUUAGUAUUCAAUUGUCAGAGGUGAAAUUCUUGGAUUUAUUGAAGACUAACUACUGCGAAAGCAUUUGCCAAGGAUGUUUUCAUUAAUCAAGAACGAAAGUUAGGGGAUCGAAGACGAUCAGAUACCGUCGUAGUCUUAACCAUAAACUAUGCCGACUAGGGAUCGGAUGAUGUUAAUUUUUUAAUGACUCA